rnacentral:rRNA from 1 species
AUUGAACGCUGGCGGCGUGCCUAACACAUGCAAGUCGAGCGGUAACAGGUGUAGCAAUACAUGCUGACGAGCGGCGAACGGGUGAGUAAUGCUUCGGAAUCUACCCAAUGGUGGGGAAUAACCAGCCGAAAGGUUGGCUAAUACCGCAUACGUCCCACGGGAGAAAGCAGGGGAUCGCAAGACCUUGCGCCAAUGGAUGAGCCGAAGUCGGAUUAGCUAGUUGGAGGGUAACGGCCUACCAAGGCGACGAUCCGUAGCUGGUCUGAGAGGACGACCAGCCACACUGGGACUGAGACACGGCCCAGACUCCUACGGGAGGCAGCAGUGGGGAAUAUUGGACAAUGGGGGAAACCCUGAUCCAGCGACGCCGCGUGUGUGAAGAAGGCCUGCGGGGUUGUAAAAGCACUCUUAGUGGGGAUGAAAUGUUCAGGGUUAACACCUCUGG